AAUUGUAUCUCCUGUCAUGUUUUUGUUGAGAAAAACAAGCUCAGUAAACUAUACUUGUUUAUACACACCAGUUUAAAUGAUGGAAUGCCCCAUGCUUCAGCUAGCAAAGUCUUUCUCAGAUGCCAUGUUUGUUGUUUACAGAAGCAUCUCAGGGAUUACGUUGCUUCGGGGAUGCUGCUUUCUGACGAGCUAUACAUAUACGAGAGUAAAGUGUACACCACUUAUCCAGUGCAUUUAAACAGGAACCCAGCUUUCUCACAGGGUCGGAAGGCUCACUGCCAUCUGCUGGGGGGAGGAGCGAGCUGUCGUCCACCAGAGGGCGGAGGAGCGGUUGAGGACUGGGCGACAGCAUGUCUGGGAGAGGGAAAGGGUUUCCAGGAGGCUAGGUGAACCACCGGCUAACAGAAUGGCCAGCGGGAGAGUGAAAUAAAGGGGAGCCGGAGACACAGAGCAGUUCAACAGAGAGAUAGA